CUGUACUUGGCAGAAGGGAAGCCUGGAAACUUUUUUAGAUUAGUAGUAAUGGCCCUAAAGAAGAAGUGGACAUCCCAUGGGGCAUCUGGAGGACAGAUGGCUGGGGCAGAGGGCACAGAUGUGAGCAACAGCUGACAGUGGCUGGCCAGGAGACCUCCAGGGUCCAGAGGACACAGGUGCUGGAAAGCCCAUGGGCCCACCUCAGCGUCUGAAUUUGUCUGUCUACAAGACCUUGCUGAUCCUCUCAGCACUCCCCAAUCCCUUUUCCUAGUUGAAGUCCCUCUCCUGGCUCCUAAGUCUACCCACAUUAUACAUGAACAUGAAGACCUCAAAGAAUGCUAGUCCUCCAACACUGUACACCGACGAAUCAAGGCUGGAAUAUGUCUGUGAUGUUCCCUGUUGCUUGCCUAGCACUUAACAGCGCCCACACAUGCCUGACACAGAGUAGACAUAAACGAAAGAACAAAAAAUUAAAAUAAGUUGAUAAUGUAGUAUUUACCCAAAUAGGAAACUUAGACAUAGUUUUAAUAUAGAUUGAAACAAAAAGAUGUUUCUAUUUAGCCAGCUUAUUAAAA